rnacentral:rRNA from 1 species
GACGACGCGUGGCGGCGUGGAUUAGGCAUGCAAGUCGAACGGUAUCAUCCUUCGGGGGUGAGAGAGUGGCGAACUGGUGAGUAACACGUAGGUUAUCUACCUCAAGACGGGGACAACCCAGGGAAACUUGGGCUAAUACCGGAUGUGAGCAACUUUUAGUUGUUUGAAAGGUGGCGUAAGCUGUCGCUUGGGGAUGAGCCUGCGUCCUAUUAGUUAGUUGGUGAGGUAACGGCUCACCUAGGCAAUGAUAGGUAGGCGGCCUUAACGGGUGGUCGCCCACACUGGGAUUGAGAUACGGCCCAGACUCCUACGGGAGGCAGCAGUCGAGAAUAGUCUACAAUGGUCGGAAGACUGAUAGUGCGACGCCGCGUGAACGAUGAAUCCCUUCGGGGUGUAAAGUUCUUUUAUAUGUGAGCAGUGCUUCUUAUAUUAACAGUAUGGGGAGAGAGAUAUUAGCAUAUGAAUAAGCAACGGCUAACUCCGUG